ACCUUGCUGACAAGUGCCAAGUAGCACGAAACUCUAGUCCAAGGU
rnacentral:hammerhead_ribozyme from 1 species